GAUGAACGCUGGCGGCGUGCCUAAUACAUGCAAGUCGAGCGAACGGACGAGAAGCUUGCUUCUCUGAUGUUAGCGGCGGACGGGUGAGUAACACGUGGAUAACCUACCUAUAAGACUGGGAUAACUUCGGGAAACCGGAGCUAAUACCGGAUGAUAUUUUGAACCGCAUGGUUCAAAAGUGAAAGACGGUCUUGCUGUCACUUAUAGAUGGAUCCGCGCUGCAUUAGCUAGUUGGUAAGGUAACGGCUUACCAAGGCAACGAUGCAUAGCCGACCUGAGAGGGUGAUCGGCCACACUGGAACUGAGACACGGUCCAGACUCCUACGGGAGGCAGCAGUAGGGAAUCUUCCGCAAUGGGCGAAAGCCUGACGGAGCAACGCCGCGUGAGUGAUGAAGGUCUUCGGGUCGUAAAACUCUGUUAUUAGGGAAGAACAUAUGUGUAAGUAACUGUGCACAUCUUGACGGUACCUAAUCAGAAAGCCACGGCUAACUACGUA
rnacentral:rRNA from 1 species